rnacentral:rRNA from 1 species
GACGAACGCUGGCGGCGUGCUUAACACAUGCAAGUCGAACGAUGAACCCGGAGCUUGCUCCGGCGGAUUAGUGGCGAACGGGUGAGUAACACGUGAGUAACCUGCCCUUGACUCUGGGAUAACUGCGGGAAACUGUAGCUAAUACCGGAUACGACCCUCGGCGGCAUCGCCAGGGGGUGGAAAGAAUUUCGGUCAAGGAUGGACUCGCGGCCUAUCAGCUAGUUGGUGAGGUAACGGCUCACCAAGGCGACGACGGGUAGCCGGCCUGAGAGGGUGACCGGCCACACUGGGACUGAGAUACGGCCCAGACACCUACGGGAGGCAGCAGUGGGGAAUAUUGCACAAUGGGCGCAAGCCUGAUGCAGCGACGCCGCGUGAGGGAUGACGGCCUUCGGGUUGUAAACCUCUUUCAGCACCGACGAAGCGCAAGUGACGGUAGGUGCAGAAGAAGGACCGGCCAACUACGUGCCAGCAGCCGCAGUAA